CAUGGAGGGUGAGAAUCCCGUCCGGCUGAUCAUCGCGUUUUACGAUACGCUUUCUAAGAGUCAAGUUGUUUGGGAUUGCAGCUCAAAAUGGGAGGUAAAUUUCUCCUAAGGCUAAAUAACGGCGAGAGACCGAUAGCGAACAAGUACCGUGAGGGAAAGAUGAAAAGAACUUUGAAAAGAGAGUUAAACAGUACGUGAAAUUGUUGAAAGGGAAACGAUUGAAGCCAGUCGUACCUAUGGGUAAUCAACCUUUCGGGUGCGAUUAUGUGGAGCGUGAGGAGUUAAACGCCUUCAUGCCUGCGUAUUUGUACUCUGGGGUGUACUUGGACGUGCGGUAGGUUAACAUCAAUUUCGGAUGUCAUAAAGUGGCUGGAGGAAUGUAGCUUCGGUCUCGUACUGAAGUGUUAUAGCCUUUGGUAGAUGUGAUGACCGGGAUUGAGGAUUGCAACGAAUACCUUUUGGGCUAUCCGCCUGAUCUCUGAAAGUUGCUCUGGUGCCGAAAGCUUGCUUACGGUUAUCAAAGUUGACGUUCAAAGGGUUAGAACGGGUUAAAUUCGUUAAGGAUGUUGACGUAAUGG
rnacentral:rRNA from 1 species